CAUUUCAGCACAAACAUUAACUGAUUAACAUGGAAUAUUAUGGACUUCCUCUCCUCAUUGCCUCCUUUCUAACAGGAAUCAGCUGUCAAAAAGUUACUCCAGUCAAAAAUAGAGAGUCCAGUUCAGAAGGCAGCUCUGUUACUCUGUCCUGCAAUUACACAGCAGCUGAUUAUUUCUUCUGGUAUCGACAAUAUCCAGGAAAACAUCCAGAGUUCCUCACCGUCAAUACGGGUUUUGAAGAAAUGCAGAAGGAUCCUGUUCCUAGACUCUCUGGUAGAGUAAGAAGAACUGAAGCCCACAUGGACCUGCUGAUCUCCUCUGCAGCAGUGACUGACUCUGCUGUGUACUACUGUGCUGUGAGGCCCACAGUGACAGGAAACACCAGAACUCUGUACAAUAACCUGCAAUACUCCACAACAUCCACUAGAGGGCCUCACACACUGUUCCUCCUCUAUGGUUUGUUAGGAUUCAGUCUGAUUGUUUGUGCAGCUGAGAAUAAAGCAGACAUCAGAGUGUUUGCUGCAUCAUUGAACUCUUUAUGAUGAGA